rnacentral:rRNA from 1 species
UGCGUAGGCGGCUUAAUAAGUCAGUGGUGAAAGCCGAUCGCUUAACGAUCGAACUGCCAUUGAUACUGCUAGGCUUGAGUAUAGUUGAGGUAGGCGGAAUUGACAGUGUAGCGGUGAAAUGCAUAGAUAUUGUCAAGAACACCAAUUGCGAAGGCAGCUUACUAAAGUAUAACUGACGCUGAGGCACGAAAGUGCGGGGAUCAAACAGGAUUAGAUACCCUGGUAGUCCGCACCGUAAACGAUGAUCACUCGCUGUGUGCGAUAAACAGUACGCGGCCAAGCGAAAGCGAUAAGUGAUCCACCUGGGGAGUACGCCCGCAAGGGUGAA